UGCGUCAGUCUUCAGAUCUUAUCGGGAGUUCAUCACCGAGUCAGUCGUCAAUUGAUUCCAUAAUUGAUGAUCCCAAGGGGGGCCAAACGAGGAAAGCAACAUCCGAGGAAAGAGACGAGCAAAUUAUCACAACAAUGGAUGAUGUGAUGUCACCAUGAAAUAAAACGAAUGCUUUAAUGAAUGGAAACUUUGUCCAGUUGGUGGCGUACGCCUUUGUAUUUGUAUAGGUUGUUCGCUCCCAUUGAAUGUUUCCCCAUGAGAGAGCUGCCUUUUGAGAACCGUCUUUUCUUGUAUAAAGUGGUGCUUGAAAAACUUUAAUAGAAACCUCAAAUAGGCUCGGUGUUAAUGUUGUCAUGGCUUCCCAGGUUGGCAAUGGAUGCUCUCUAGGUUCGGUGUUAAUGUUGUCAUGGCUUCCCAGGUUGGCAAUGGAUUCUCUCUUGUGGCA